rnacentral:rRNA from 1 species
AUUGAACGCUGGCGGCAGGCCUAACACAUGCAAGUCGAGCGGAUGAAGGGAGCUUGCUCCUGGAUUCAGCGGCGGACGGGUGAGUAAUGCCUAGGAAUCUGCCUGGUAGUGGGGGAUAACGUCCGGAAACGGGCGCUAAUACCGCAUACGUCCUGAGGGAGAAAGUGGGGGAUCUUCGGACCUCACGCUAUCAGAUGAGCCUAGGUCGGAUUAGCUAGUUGGUGGGGUAAAGGCCUACCAAGGCGACGAUCCGUAACUGGUCUGAGAGGAUGAUCAGUCACACUGGAACUGAGACACGGUCCAGACUCCUACGGGAGGCAGCAGUGGGGAAUAUUGGACAAUGGGCGAAAGCCUGAUCCAGCCACGCCGCGUGUGUGAAGAAGGUCUUCGGAUUGUAAAGCACUUUAAGUUGGGAUGAAGGGCAGUAAGUUAAUACCUUGCUGUUUUGACGUUACCAACAGAAUAAGCACCGGCUAACUUCGUG